rnacentral:misc_RNA from 1 species
AACAAGGCGUACCUGCGGACCUGCGGAGGGAUCAUUACCGAGUUUACAACUCCCAAACCCAUGUGAACAUACCUAUCGUUGCUUCGGCGGAUCGCCCCGGGCGCCUUGCGUGCCCCGGAUCCAGGCGGCCGCCGGGGGACCUUAACUCUUGUUUUUACUGAGAAUCUUCUGAGUCGUUUUUACAAAUAAAUAAAAACUUUCAACAACGGAUCU